AAGUCUGUAAAAAAAGGUGUAUAUUUCACCUCAAAUCCAUCUUCACUAUUUAUGUAUAUUUGUUUUUCUUAGUUUCUGAAUUUUAUUUUGGUGGUGACGCUUUUAUUUUCUUGCUUCCUGUUUGACGUCAUAUCCUGUGUGUUCCCGCUGUUCUCCUCAGUUCGCGCCGAGCUGCGCUGGGGAGAGGUCUGUGUGGGGAGGCCGGAGCCUGGGAACUGCUGUGCUGAAUGCAUUUUUAUUUUGAACAGGUAUGUGAGUUGCUUUAAACGUCAUUUGGAUGUUAAAUUUAUGUGUUUAGUAUAUUUUCAUAUUGUAGUGAAGGAUUCUUUUUGUGGUUUAUUUGACUUGAACAGAGAAAGGUGUGGCUAUGGAUUAUUAUUAUUUUUAUUUUUAUUGUUUUGAUAUUUUACUUAUUUGCUGACCUUAAGUUUUGGUUGGUUGUGGCACAUUCCUGCGUGAGUUCGCGCCGAGCUGCGCUGGGGAGAGGUCUGUGUGGGGAGGCCGGAGCCUGGGAACUGCUGUGCUGAAUGCAUUUUUAUUUUGAACAGAAUAAACUCGCCUUCCUGCUACAAAACA